rnacentral:lncRNA from 1 species
AAAUUAGGAUCAAGCAUAUGAUUGUAUGUGAUUCAUGAAUUUGGUUAAAUGGUAUUUCUUCAUGAAUAUAUGAUUGGGUAUGAAUUAUGAUUAUGAUAUAUUGCAUGAAAAUGAUAUUUGAAGCAUGGUCAUGAGGCUCGUUCCAGAGCCUGGGUAUAUGAGGCGGGUGUUUCCAAAUCCUGCAGAUGCGUUUUGGGGAGAAGCAAAAUCGGUGAGGGGUUAAGUGCAGCGCAUGCGCGCGUACGGACCCCGAACUGGCCAACAUCUAGCAGGGGAGCCCCGUGUUUCCUCCUCAUGUGGGCCCGAUAGUCACGUGCCCUGCACAGGCGGGCCGUGACAUUUAUGAACGUGCCUGGCCAAAGCAUACAUUAUUUUACGACGGGUUUUUGAAUAUAUCCUUUAUGAAAUGUUGUAUUUUGCUCUAACUGCUAUCUCCUUUAAAUGAUGCUAAUCGCAUGAAUUCUUAUGUUUGAUCCGGUAAGAUUAUGUAUGAUUACUUACUGAGCCGUGUAGCUCAUAUCCAUUCAUUUACAUUUUUCUUUCAGAUCCUCAUCACUGAUAGCUGUCAGAGACACUUUAGUUUGGUAUCAGGGCUUAUUUCCUUUGGGGUAAAAUAAAUAUGCUUUUGUGUACAUAAACUACAUAGAAGCUCUGUAUUUGGGUACUGACCAGCAUGUUGUACUAAGAAUAUUUUUAUAUAUAAAGGUUUGGUUGGUUUGACUACCCUGUUACCCAGGUAUGAGGCUUCGUGCUAUUGUGGGCGGUAGUCGGCAAUAGCACGGCCGUGUCACGGAUCCGGAUCCGGGGCGUGACAUUCUUGUGGUAUCAGAGCAAUAGGUUAAUCAUGAGUAAAAAUUUUAAGUUUUAAUAAGGGAAUGGGUAGUUAAGUCUCAUUCG